UCAAUCAAUAAAUGAGCUGAAAUGAUAC
rnacentral:piRNA from 1 species